rnacentral:rRNA from 2 species
AGCGGAGCAUGUGGUUUAAGUUCGAAGCAACGCGAAGAACCUUACCAGGGCUUGACAUGCCGCUGACCGGUUUAGAGAUAGACCUUUAUCCUUCGGGGUACAGCGGACACAGGUGGUGCAUGGUUGUCGUCAGCUCGUGUCGUGAGAUGUUGGGUUAAGUCCCGCAACGAGCGCAACCCUUGUCUUUAGUUGCCAUCAUUAAGUUGGGCACUCUAAAGAGACUGCCGAUGACAAAUCGGAGGAAGGUGGGGAUGACGUCAAAUCAUCAUGCCCUUUAUGUCCUGGGCUACACACGUGCUACAAUGGUCGGUACAACGAGAAGCAAGCCAGCGAUGGCAAGCAAAUCUCUAAAAGCCGAUCCCAGUUCGGAUUGCAGGCUGCAACUCGCCUGCAUGAAGUCGGAGUUGCUAGUAAUCGCGGAUCAGAAUGCCGCGGUGAAUGCGUUCCCGGGUCUU